rnacentral:rRNA from 1 species
AGAGUUUGAUCCUGGCUCAGGACAAACGCUGGCGGCGUGCGUAACACAUGCAAGUCGGACGGGGUCUGGCGGGCUUUCGGGCCUGCCAGGUCGAGUGGCGGACGGGUGAGUAACACGUGGAUAACCUACCUGGUGUGGGGGAUACCCUGUAGAAAUACGGGCUAAGACCGCAUGAGGUGGAGCUUGGGGAGCCGAGCUUC